rnacentral:rRNA from 1 species
GACGAACGCUGGCGGCGUGCUUAACACAUGCAAGUCGAACGGAAAGGCCCUGCUUUUGUGGGGUGCUCGAGUGGCGAACGGGUGAGUAACACGUGAGUAACCUGCCCUUGACUUUGGGAUAACUUCAGGAAACUGGGGCUAUUACCGGAUAGGAGCUCCUGCUGCAUGGUGGGGGUUGGAAAGUUUCGGCGGUUGGGGAUGGACUCGCGGCUUAUGAGCUUGUUGGUGGGGUAGUGGCUUACCAAGGCUUUGACGGGUAGCCGGCCUGAGAGGGUGACCGGCCACAUUGGGACUGAGAUACGGCCCAGACUCCUACGGGAGGCAGAAGUGGGGAAUAUUGCACAAUGGGCGGAAGCCUGAUGCAGCAACGCCGCGUGCGGGAUGACGGCCUUCGGGUUGUAAACCGCUUUCGCAUGUGACGAAGCGUGAGUGACGGUAAUGGGUAAAGAAGCACCGGCUAACUACGUG